CCGUAAUCGGAAUGAGUACACUUUAAAUCCUUUAACAAGGAUCCAUUGGAGGGCAAGUCUGGUGCCAGCAGCCGCGGUAAUUCCAGCUCCAAUAGCGUAUAUUAAAGUUGUUGCGGUUAAAAAGCUCGUAGUUGGUUCUGCGUGCCGCGCUGUCGGUUCGCCGCCUGUCGGUGUAACUGGCAUGUCGCGGCAUGUCCUGUCGGUGGUGAACGGAGUCCACAAUGCUACAUAGGCUUUAUAGCCGAUGUUAGCGUCGUGUGUACUUCCGUUGGCCGAUCUCUCCUACUUCGGUGCUCUUAAACGAGUGUCGAGGUAGGCCGACACGUUCACUUUGAACAAAUUAGAGUGCUUAAAGCAGGCUGAAAUAUCUGCCUGAAUAGUGGUGCAUGGAAUGAUAAAACAGGACCUCGGUUCUAUUUUGUUGGUUUUAGGAAUAUGAGGUAAUGAUCAAUGUGGACUGGCGGGGGCAUUCGUAUUGCGACGUUAGAGGUGAAAUUCUUGGAUCGUCGCAAGACGCACUAGAGCGAAAGCAUUUGCCAAGUAUGUCUUAAUUGAUCAAGAACGAAAGUUAGAGGUUCGAAGGCGAUCAGAUACCGCCCUAGUUCUAACCAUAAACGAUGCCAGCCAGCGAUCCGCCGAUGUUCCUUUAAUGACUCGGCGGGGAGCUUCCACCCGGGAAACCAAAGCUUUUGGGUUCCGGGGGAAGUAUGGUUGCAAAGCUGAAACU
rnacentral:rRNA from 1 species